rnacentral:rRNA from 1 species
UACGGGGGGGGCAAGCGUUGUUCGGAAUUACUGGGCGUAAAGGGUUCGUAGGUGGCCAACUAAGUCAGACGUGAAAUCCCUCAGCUUAACUGGGGAACUGCGUCCGAUACUGGUGUGGCUUGAGUGCAGGAGAGGAACGCGGAAUUCCAGGUGUAGCGGUGAAAUGCGUAGAUAUCUGGAGGAACACCGGUGGCGAAGGCGGCGUUCUGGACUGCAACUGACACUGAGGAACGAAAGCCAGGGGAGCAAACGGG